GACGAACGCUGGCGGCGUGCUUAACACAUGCAAGUCGAACGGGCCUUGUCCCCUUUUUUUUUGGGGGUGGGGUUAGUGGCGAACGGGUGAGUAACACGUGAGUAACCUGCCCCUCACUUCUGGAUAACCGCUUGAAAGGGUGGCUAAUACGGGGUGUUCUGGCCUGCUCGCAUGGGUGGGUUUGGAAAGAUUCGACCGGUUUUGGUUGUUUUGGUGGGGGAUGGGCUCGCGGCCUAUCAGCUUGUUGGUGGGGUGAUGGCCUGCCAAGGCUUUGACGGGUAGCCGGCCUGAGAGGGUGGGCGGUCACACUGGGACUGAGACAUGGCCCAGACUCCUACGGGAGGCAGCAGUGGGGAAUAUUGCACAAUGGGCGCAAGCCUGAUGCAGCGACGCCGCGUGAGGGAUGGAGGCCUUCGGGUUGUGAACCUCUUUCGCCAGUGAAGAAGGUCCUGCUCUUUGUGGUGGGGUUGACGGUAGCUGGGUUAAUGAAGCGCCGGCUAACUACGUG
rnacentral:rRNA from 1 species